UACGAAGGGGGCUAGCGUUGCUCGGAAUCACUGGGCGUAAAGGGUGCGUAGGCGGCUUUUUAAGUCAGGGGUGAAAUCCUGGAGCUCAACUCCAGAACUGCCUUUGAUACUGAGAGCUUGAGUCCGGGAGAGGUGAGUGGAACUGCGAGUGUAGAGGUGAAAUUCGUAGAUAUUCGCAAGAACACCAGUGGCGAAGGCGGCUCACUGGCCCGGUACUGACGCUGAGGUGCGAAAGCGUGGGGAGCAAACAGG
rnacentral:rRNA from 1 species